rnacentral:rRNA from 1 species
CCUACGGGAGGCAGCAGUGGGGAAUAUUGGACAUGGGCGCAAGCCUGAUCCAGCAUGCCGCGUGAGUGAUGAAGGCCUUAGGGUUUGUAAAGCUCUUUCGCACGUGACGAUGAUGACGGUAACGUGAGAAGAAGCCCCGGCUAACUUCGUGCCAGCAGCCGCGGUAAU